rnacentral:tRNA from 1 species
GGGGUUGAGGCUCAGUAGUAGAGCACUUGCCUAGCAUGCAUGAGGCACCAGGCUCGAUCCUCAGCUCCA